rnacentral:sRNA from 1 species
UACCCUAAAAAGUCAUCAUCAUCUACAAUAGAUGUCUCUCUCUCAGAUGUGCAUAGAAUGUAACUCAAUUUCACCUUCCUUGAGGUUUCAUCUAUUCCAAUCUUCUUGCAUAUCUUUUCUACUAACAACGAGUAUGUUACCUUUGACGUCUUCAACAAUACACCGCUUAAAGAAUUGUUUGAAAUCCACUCAUGCUCUUCUGAAUAAUACUCAUUGUCAAAUUGUAUGAAUGUGUGUUUGUUCUUCAUCGCUUCCUAUAAUUACAAAU